GUGAGGAAUAUUGGUCAAUGGGCGGGAGCCUGAACCAGCCAAGUCGCGUGAAGGAAGAAGGAUCUAUGGUUCGUAAACUUCUUUUGCAGGGGAAUAAAGUGCAGGACGUGUCCUGUUUUGUAUGUACUGUACGAAUAAGGAUCGGCUAACUCCGUGCCAGCAGCCGCGGUAAUACGGAGGAUCCGAGCGUUCUCCGGAUUUAUUGGGUUUAAAGGGUGCGUAGGUGGUUUGAUAAGUCAGCGGUGAAAGUUUGCAGCUUAACUGUAAAAAUGCCGUUGAAACUGUCGGACUUGAGUGUAAAUGAGGUAGGCGGAAUGCGUGGUGUAGCGGUGAAAUGCAUAGAUAUCACGCAGAACUCCGAUUGCGAAGGCAGCUUACUAAGCUACAACUGACACUGAAGCACGAAAGCGUGGGGAUCAAACAGGAUUAGAUACCCGGGUAGUCC
rnacentral:rRNA from 1 species